GUCUACGGCCAUACAACGUUGAAAGCACCAGUUCUCGUCCGAUCACUGAAGUUAAGCAACGUCGGGCUCGGUUAGUACUUGGAUGGGUGACCGCCUGGGAACACCGAGUGCUGUAGACU
rfam:Lottia gigantea unplaced genomic scaffold LOTGIsca_64, whole genome shotgun sequence.